UUACUAGGAGUUUGGUAGGUGGUGUUCCCGCAAUGCAGUGGUGAUGGCUCUGAAGUCUCGCCUCCUUUUAAAUGUGUAGGCCGAUAUGUCAGCAAAGAUAGUGGUUCCCUUAUAUUCAGCCGGUAGGCUUUUGCCUGUCCUGUUUGCUGAGAUAAUUGCUUCUUUGGCGUAAAAAUAGUGCAGCUGGAGCAUGACAUCUUGUGGCAUUUCUGGAGGUAAGAAUUGGG